AGCCUGUCAACUCGAUUGGUAGAGUAUUGUGUGUGCAAAUACAUAAAAAUGUAGGUUCGACUCCCACACAGGCUC
rnacentral:tRNA from 1 species